GUUUGCUUCAGCCCCACAUAUACUAAAAUUAGAAUGAUCCAGAGAAGAUUAGCAUGGCUCCUGUGCAAGGGUGACAUGCAAAUACUUGAAGUAUUCCCUAUUUUU